rnacentral:rRNA from 1 species
GACAGAGGGUGCAAACGUUGCUCGGAAUUACUGGGCGUAAAGGGCGUGUAGGCGGGAAGGCAAGUCGGGCGUGAAAUCCCCAGGCUCAACCUGGGAACUGCACUCGAAACUGCCUUUCUUGAGUGCCGGAGAGGAAAGCGGAAUUCCUGGUGUAGAGGUGAAAUUCGUAGAUAUCAGGAGGAACACCAGUGGCGAAGGCGGCUUUCUGGACGGUAACUGACGCUGAGACGCGAAAGCGUGGGGAGCAAACAGGAUUAGAAACCCCCGUAGUCC